UUUUUUUUUUUUGUGACAACUGGAGCAUGACAAUGUGAUAAGCUUAAUUUGGAACACAAAAUGCAGUAGCAAAUCCAAAAACUUCUACAGCAGAUACGUGGAUCAUCUUCAGGGAGACAGAUGCUUGAUGCUGCAACACUUUUUGUUUAGGAAUAAAGAAACUAAAGAUGCCAGCUAUUAUGCAUGUGUAUGCAUCAGAACCAGGCAACAGAGCAGCAGCCAUGAACACUUGAACUGCGAAGUCAACUGCUCCACCAGCACGGCAGCACGUAGCAACCAGCAUCGGCAAAGCUCUCCUUAUCCCAUUUCAUAGCUUGCUCACAGACGUCGUGAUCUGGACCCAAACAUUGAACUAGGCACUCGUGCACAUCAUUUUGCCGCUGACCUGAACAACAACAAAGGAAAAGGCAUCGGCCUGUCAUGCCGAUAGGUGGUUUUGUUGCAGCAGCACAGCACCUUCUAUUCUCGCUAUGGAUACUGCCAACGACGCCAUUUCUUCAGUAAAUGCAGUUAAAUAGCCAGGCAUUCCAACUGAAGAUGUCACUGCCGUCUACAUUUUGUAUCAUUGCCAUUUAACACGAUUCAAAUCUCCAUAGAGUCCAUCAAUAGGCAAGCCAGAAGCCCCCUGCAUACAGCACAUAAAACAUUCUGGGUAAGUAAAUAAGAAAAGUUUUUGCCAAGCAUCUUAACUUAUGCAGAACAACUCAUGUUUCCAGUGUAGUAUAACAGGUUAAUCACCAUUUGCCAAGCGAUUGCAGAACUAAUUUCACAAGAAAGCUUACAAAUCCUUACAGGUUCAGCUCCGCCAAAACCAAAGGUGUAGUUCCUGAGAUGAAUGCGCGACGAGAACGACAGGAGAACCUCACCGUUGAGCUCCGACCAGGGUCCACGGCUUCACGCCAAGGCACCUCGCCGCCGCCGGAACAUGGAUGCAUGAUUUGGCCGAGGAAAGCACGAGGAGACGCAGAUGCGACCGGAAGAUCCCCUCCCAAGACCGGCCGCAGCUCUCCGGCAAGACCAUGACGAUGGCGGCGAGGGCGGCGGUUGUCGGCGGAUGUGAAGGGGGCAACGGCCAUGGGGGAAGAGCGACUGAAAGAUGGCAGGCACAAAAAUAGGGAGGAAUUUGCAAAAUGCCAGGUCCGGUAUUGGGGGGUUUAUUGUAAAUAAUCGGAUCGCGAUUAAUAAUUGCGAUCCAAAUAAGGGUUGUUUAUGUAAAUAAUCGGAUCGCGAUCAUUAAUCGCGAUCCGAAUCAGGGGGUUCUAUGCAAAAGUGUUCCGAUAAGGUGCCAUGUUCCACGGCCGCAUCGAUCCCCUUCCGGUCGCCGGCGGCGGGAGGAGUCGCGCGGGUGGAGGCUUGUGGAGACGCUUGUGGGAGGCAGCAGCGAGAUACGCGAGGGCACCGGCGGGGCGGCACACCCGCCGCUGACUGCGGGCUUGCGGCGAUGCCGCCGCUCUCAAUCGCCGCAACAGAAGACUCCGGCGACGAUCUGGUCAGCGUCGCCUCCCUCCCCUUUCCAUCACCAACCCCUCCUGUUCCCCCUUCCGAGAAAUUAUCCGCGGCAAGCGUGUGCAUCCGCGGCAGCUGCUAAUGGCGACAUGACAGCGCGAUUGCAAGUUCAAUCAUUCAGGACCUACAUAUUUGCAGGAACACGUGGUGAUCGAGGACGCUUCGCUGCGAGCGAGCACCCAAUGCAAAGGUCCACGGCUGGGAGACACGGCACGCCUCUCAAUUGAUCCACCGGAUCGGAAUGCUUGGGAACCUGGAGCUGGAGGUGAGCCAAGUCAACUAUCUGUUCGUUUCUCCACCGGCAACUUGCAGCCUUGCAGGUUUGAUUAACACAUCUCACGAUCUGGACCAGAUGCUAGUCUCGACGGCCCUUCACCCGUGCAGGCGAGAUUGCUACCCAUAAUGCAGACAUGACAGCCUCGUAAUCAAGAUCGAUGAGCGAUGAGAUUCUUGGGAGGUGGCUUCGGUUGCAGCGCAUGAGCACUUGAGUACACAUGAGAAUUAUUCUUGUUGUCUGCUGGUUCAGCUGGGCAAUUGCCUCCACCUCUUUUUCGCUAUAUAAACAAGGAAGCCGAAGCCCGGAAGACACCAUUGCAGCAGCUUGCCUUCGAUCUGUUUUCUCUCAUACUCCCAGUAGCUUCAGAGCAUCAAUUCCAAGGAUGGCCUGCCACCUGAGAUCUGUGAGUGUGCCUUCGAGCCCUCGCUCCAAUGAAACCAGUGUUGAGGAACAGCUACAGAGCUUGAAGGCAACCGUCUCUUCGCCUUCAGCGACCAUCGAAACCAUGGUUGGUGGUCUGAGCAAGCUCGGGAGCAUCUAUGACCGCAUCGAUGAGCUGCUCACAUGCUUACCCAGCAGCCAGAGGAAGGCGGUGGAGGAGGAGCUCGAGCGCUCCCUCGUCCUGCUCGACCUCUGCAGCGCCGUGCAAGAGAGCUUUGUGGAGCUCAAGACCAGCGUCCAAGAGAUGCAAUUGGCUCUCAAAAGAGGAGAUGAUGCUGCUCUUCAGACCAGGGUUCAGUGUUACUCACGCUCAGCCAAGAAGGCACAGAAGCUGUUCAAGAAGAUCAACAAGAAGACUGCUUCUGACAUGGAAGGCUGCAGGGUGAUCAAGCUGAUUGCUGAAGCGAGAGAGACUGCCGUGUCAAUCCUUGAAUCGACAUUGAAUCUCCUCUCGAAGCAAAUCACGAUGCCAAGUUCCAGCAAGUGGUCACUCGUCUCCAAGUCGUUCCAAAAGAAGAGAGUUGUGUGCGAGGAGGAGCAAUUGCAAGGGUUGGAGCUGGACAUUGUUGAUCUUGAGAGUGGAGUUGGGGCUUUGUUCAGGACAUUGAUCCAGAGCAGAGUUUCUCUUCUCAAUACUCUUAGCUUGUAGACAGAUCAUACAACAAUUCUGACCCCUUGCGAUUAGCAUCCGCCUUUUAGAGGAUCUGCUGAUCUAGAAGCAAAUUUUUGAUGUACAUAUAUAUGAAAGGAAGUGUACAGAAAAUUAGAUAAUGAAGAAGCAAAGUUUUUGAUCCAUUUCCUGUGACCUUUCUCUUGUGAAGAAUUUUAUGGGAGUUUCUGUUUGCCUAAUUUUUUGUGCAUCAUAUAAAGGGAAUCAAGACAAUACAUAAAAUUUAUACUGUUUUUCUCACCAUUAUUACAUAGUUAUAGAAAUACAGGUUGUUCAGUCAGUGCUCACAAUUAGUUGAGUCGGUCAUGAUAUUCUUAUUCACAUGAGCUGUGCCUCAACAGCAAGCACAAGAUCCUUUAUAGUGGAUCUUGCUCUCCAUGCAUAAACAUGCCAGCUCCAAACCACCAGUGCUGAUCUCUUAGUUACUGAUGAGUGUUAAUCCCUAGGAAAAUAAAUACAUAUGGAUUUCUUAAUGUUGUAUAUCUCAGGAAAUUAUACUCGCUAUGUACUUCAGUCUAUUUAUGAAUAACCUGAUCAUCCAAAAUAAAUUAUCUAACAAUUUUUAUGAAUGAUGCAUAGUAAAUUCGUAUAGGCAACUGUUUAGCAACCAGAUAAGAGAUAAUGUAUCCAGUAGACUGAACUUUUAAUUUUUUAUGAUGAUUAUUGCUGCUGCCACAGGAGCACAAAAUACACUAGUGAUGCCACAAUAUUAUACGACACGUAUGAGGAUCAUCUUGAGAAUUGAGAUUGCCAAAGAUGCUACACGCUGCAAUUAAACAAAAAAAAACACGGCAGCAAUACUGCAUGAGGGUUCUUAAGAACCAGGAGACAGUCUAGCAGGCAUGACCACAUGAGCAAUGAAGUCAACUGCUGCCUCCAACACUCACCAGCAUUCAGCAACAAGCAUCGGAGACAGCUCUUCAGCUCCUAUUUCAUAGCUUGCCUCAACCAUGUCAUGAUCUGGAUGUAACAUAAACUACUCACUCGUGCACACCAAAUUGCCUCUUGCCUAAACAAACAGGCAAACAUAAAGCAUCAGCCUGUCAUGCAGAUCGGUGGUUUUGUUGCAGCUGCAAAGCACCUCCCAUACAUGAGAUUCCUGUUGUCGAUACCAUCAACGGUGCCAUCUCUUCAUGUUGUUUGGUUAUAUAAAGAGGCGAACUAUAGCCUAGUUGUCACCAUGGAAGCAAUUCUAGAGAACAAGAGAGCACCACAAUUUCCACUACUACCAUGGCUUACCACCUCAGGUCUGCUAGCGUACCUUCCAGCCCUUGCUCCAACGAAAUCGACGUUGAUGAGCAGCUCCAGAGCAUGAAGGCAACAAUUUCCUCAUCAUCUAGCACCAAUGGAACCAUGUGCGAUGGUUUCAGAAAGCUUGGAGACAUCUACAACUACAUCGGAGAGCUUGCAUGCUCACCCAGCAGCCAAGUUACACGGCAGAGGAAAGCAGUGGAGCAGGAGCUGGAACGCUCGCUUGUGUUGCUCGAUCCCUGCAACACCAUGCAAGAGAGCUUUGGAGAGCUCAAAGAAAACAUCCUGGACAUGCAGCUGGUUCUCAAGAGAGGAGAUGAUGCAGCUGUCCAAGUCAUGAUCCAGUCCCACAUCCGAUUGGCAAAGAAGGCACAGAAACAGUUCAAGAGGAUCAGCAAGAAAUUUGAUAUAUUUGAUCAGGAAAGCUACAAGGUGGUCAAGCUGUUGUCUAAAGCCAGGGAGAUUGCUGUCUCCAUGCUAGAGUCCUCGCUGUAUCUGUUGACGAGGCAAAUUGCAACGCCAAGUUCUAGCAAGUGGUCUCUGGUCUCCAAGACAUUCCAGAAGAGAAGAGUUGUUUGUGGAGAGGAGCAAUUGCCGGAGUUGGAGUUGGACAUUGUUGAUCUUGAGAGCGGAGUUGAGGCUUCUUUGUUCAGGACAUUGAUCCAGAGCAGAGUUUCUCUUCUGAAUGCUCUUUGCUUGUAGAUAGAUCAUACAACAAGUCUGAUCCCCUGCAAUCAGCAUCCGCCUUUUAGAGGAUCUGCUGGUUACGAAACAAUCUUGAUGUAUAUAAUAGUGUACAGAAAAUACUCAACAAAAUGAAAGGAAGUUUUGAUUCAUUUCAAGUUGUCAGUCCUACACUUAUCCUUAAUCCUUCAUUUGAAGUUUGAUCGGUAAAAGGAAGUAAAUUUACUCAAAAGAUGCUCACUAUUAUUGGCAACCAUAAAAAUUUAGUAGAAAGUUCAUGUCUGUAAAUGAGAUGAUCACUGCUAAUUCACAUGGGAUGUGGCUCAACAACAGGCACAAGAUCCUUGUAAAGUGGAUCAUGCUCCCAUAACUCAUAGCAUGCCAGUUUUAUCCAUGAGAUUUGAGCUAACAAUUCUUAAUUGUUCAAAAGUCAAAUGGAAUGACACGAAGGGCAUAUAUGACAGCAGCAAGCAUACUAGAGUAAGCUGCCAUGCUGCUUCAUGCUGCCAAUACUUGAAACAUGACAAUGUGAUUCAGUUAGACCUAAUGGGAAAAAAUAAAAAAAUAACCUAGUGUGUUCAUCAUCUUGAGAUUGCAAAACUCACAUUCCAGCGAUGCCAACAGGACAGCUCUUAUUCUCCCAUUUCGUUUCAUGCUCAGCAAUACCUUGGCUCAUGUGCACAAGUUUGCUACCAGUAACUAGGACAUGAUAGCCUGAUAUGGUUGUCUAGAUGCCUUGCACGCUUGGUUGGGAUAUGAUAGAAGAGCAUCGCAUUUUGUUGCAUCAACAGAGUACCUCAUUAUCAGUAAGAUCAUAUCUGUCCACAAGGCCAACAAUGACACUUCUUCUCCUUGUUUCAAUAUAUAUAGAGGCAAGCCAUACCUGGUCGGCACCAUUGCAGUGUAGGUCCUCUUCUUCCUUGCACUUCUAGGUAAAGGAAAUAACUAAAACUUCCCAUACAACCAUGGCUGCAACCUCAGAUCCGCUAAUGUGCCUUCCAGACCUUGCUCCAAUGAAAUCAAUGUUGAAAAACAGCUGCAGAGCUUGAAGGCAGUAAUCAUCUAAUCCUCUGCAACAAUUAAAACCAUGUGUCACGAUUUGAGAAAGCAUGGAAAAGUAUAUAAUUACAAUGGCAAGUUCGUGUAUUGACCUAUUAGCCAGAUUACACAACAAAGGAAAGUAGUGGAAGAAGAGCUGAAGUGAUCUCUGAUCUUGCUUAACAUCUGCAAUGCAUUGCAAGAUAGCUUCUCCGAGCUCAAGGCAAGCAUCAUGGACAUGCUGCUGGCUCUCAAGAGAAUUUCAGGCCAACAGUCCUACACCUGUGUCACAGUCAAGAAGAUCAAUAAGAAGUCCCCUGUAGCUGAUCAGGAAAGCUGCAGGAUCAUAAAAAUCUUGUGUGAAGCCAGAGAGAUUGCCAUCUUUGUUCUAGCAACUUUUGCUGAAACAAAUUGUGAUUCCAUGUUCUAGCAUAUGGUCUGUGGUCUCCAAGAUAUAUCCCAUAAGAGAUGCAUUGUCUGUGAAGAUGAGAAAUUGCAGGAGUUGGAAUUGCACAUUUGUUGCUCUUGAGAGUGGAAUUGAGAAUUGAGGCUAUGUUCAUGACAUUUGAUCCAAACAGUCAAGCAAUUCUUUUUUUUUUCGAAAGACCCCAAACAGUCAAGCAUUCAUUCAUACUGAAGAUGCUGCUACUAGUAGUACUACUACCGCCUACAUUUUGUUGUUUAAAUUGCCAAGCAUCUUUAUAUGCAAAGUAAGUAGGUGAUUUUGAUGUUUCCAGCCGAUUCACACAACCAAACAACUAUGCACUACAUCUCCUUUUUUUUUCAAGAGGCUAACUAUCAACUGAAGUCCGAAUGCAAGACUCGAGCAACAGCAGGCAAAAGCUGCACGACGACAUUCAGAUCCAAGCGAUUUCUGCUGCGCCAAACCAAUUGAAGAUGCAGCCUUUUACAUUGGUCCAGACGUCCGGAGGCGCAGAGCGUCGGGGUCGGGGAAGCCACAGGAACGCUCGCCUGUGAGCCUCCUCCGCAUCGAGGCCUCGGCGGUCGGCACCGCCGGGAGGCGGGGGAGAGGGAGGAGAGGAGAAGACGAGGAAGGGCAGGUGCGGGUGAAAGGUCCGCUGCCGCGGCUACAGCACUCCGACUCCGGCAAGCCUAUAACACCGCCGCCGCAGCUGCUGCCGCCGGUGGACGGGAGUUUAGCGGGGCUUAAUGCAAAAAUCGGGAUCGCGAUUGUUAUCCACGAUCCAUCUUAUGGGGUCUUUUGAAACAAUGUGCUGACUAAGGCCCUCUCAGAGUUGACCAUGGCAGUCUUCGUGUUGACCGUCGGUGAGCUCCUCCCGCUCCCGCCACCGCUCGACGACGUGCUGCGCCCGCCGCUUUUCUCGCCGAUCUCCUCCCCUUCCAGAGAGCGCUGCCGGACUCGGCCGGGCCCCUGCUCGACGUCCAGCUGCUCCACCUCGCGCCACUCGAAGUCGAUCCGCCCCUACUAUCAGAGCUCCAGCUCCGAGGACAACGGUCACAAUUCACAAGGAUCGUAGACGACUGCGAUUUCUUGCCGCGAGAAGAGCGCCGCCCUCAGGAGAACCGGAGCUUGUACUUGCAGUUUCAGCUGCUUGGUCGAUCGAGUGGUCGGUUGACGAGGAGUUCUCCAGGGAUUGACACCAUGACCCGCCUAGCUACUUGGAACCACGCCUGACGCCGCCGAUGCCCCACAAGCCGGCGGAGAGACCGCCGGCGGAAACUCCAGCGGCGCCGUCGCCGUGCCGCGCGAUCCAUGCCGUCGAGGCAGGGAAACGACCAGGUCAAAGCGCAGCAAGUUGAAAUUUGGACCGUACGUGCCCGAUCUGACGGCUGGCAGGGCCCCAGGGUGGACGGUAAAUGAAAUACCGUCCACCCCCGGAAGGAGGCCGCAGGCGCUCUGCCUCGUCAGAAACAGAGUCGACGCCGGACGCCGUGGCGCGGUGCUCCACCGGCCGAUCGAGUGGUCGGUCGACGAGGAGCUCUCCAGGGAUGACACCAUGACCCGUGCCCUUUGCCUGGGAUCGGCGCGCUUGGACGCCUCAAGCAAUCCUUCUUCGGAGGAGCUGCGCUAGACGAAGCCUCGUCGGCAGGCGUCCGGGGCGCACCGCAACGUCGUCGCCAGGUGCCUCGAGCCGAGCGAGCAGGUCCUCGUCCACCGACGCCGCGCGCGCCUCGGGAGGCCUCGACGCUGGCGACGACGCUCGUCGGAGCAUCACCGGCAGCUAGCCAGCGCCAGCGUUCUGCCUUCAGCUCGUGCUGUUGGCUUUUGAAUCCAUGGGCCGCGGUGAACGGGGCGAGCAGUAGCGGCGGAGACGUGGCGGCACUCCGGCGGCGAGGCGACGCGCAGAGCGCAGGUCACAGACGGAGUCCCUGGCUCCCUGGCGGGUCGGGGACUCGGGGCCUCGCGGUUCGGUCAAUCGGGACUCGCUUGCGGUUCGGUCAUUGUGGGUCGCACGAGCUCCAUCUGACGGUUGGUAGGCACCCAGGGGGUGGACGGUACCGUCCACCCGGUCGGUAUCUGAAACACCGUCCGCCCCCCGUGGGGUCGCCAGGACGCCGUCUCCGCCGCACGCCGGGGCUCACCGGAGCGCCGCCGAGUUGGGCCGCCUCUUGCUUCCCUCACUCUCCUCCCAGCCGCCCAAGCUUGCACCACUCACGCCUCUCGGCUUCAGCUUUGCCCAGCAGCUCUGCUGCAACUGCCGUAGAUGUUCUUACGAAAAGGGUCAUGCUCUUACUACUAGUCACGAAAAGGGUCGUGUUCUUACUAGUCAGAUCAUGGCUGCAAGUCCAGUAGAUGUUACUUCAUGGCGCGAGAAAAGUGCCGCCCGAGGAGAAGAAGCUGAGCUUGUACUUGCAGCAGGAGUGUAGGACAGAGUGAUGGUGCUUGGCUGAAGAAUGCUCUCCGUUCGUUGUCUGAACGAUGCUGGCUGUCAGCAACCCAGUUCAUGGAGGCUGGACCGUGAGAGAUCUCAUUCCAAUCAUGAUCUUUACAGAAUUACAGGGUUCAAGCAGGCCCAAUCUGCCUAGUACUAGUACAUUAGUACUACUACUGCAUUCCUAGAGGAAUAAGCUAUUCCUCAACGACAAAAAGAUCCGUCCUCAUUGGAAGUGGAAUCCAACGAUCAAUGCACGCCCGUGCCGCCGACGAUGUCGGCGAAGUCACCCUCGUCAGCGCAGGGGAUGGUGAGGCCGCCGCAUCGGUGGUCAAAGCCGAACUCAUCCUCCACCCGCUUCAGCAUCGUUACGAACGCCGGGUGGCUCAGGCACGCCGUCGGGAUAACCAGCCGCUUCCUCCCCUCGCCGACGUACACCGCCAGGUGGCCCCUCGGCACGUCCGCCGCCGCCGACGGCGACCGGCUCCGGGCCAGGUGCAACCUCGUCAGCAGAUGCCCCAGCUUCCCCGCCAUUUCUAGCUUCUACCUUGAUGAUGGCCACACGAGUCGAAGUUCACUGGCUAUUGAAGGGUGAGAACUGAGCUUGCUAGUUUAUCCGAUUGUUCAAGAGUGAGUUGGAAGAGUUGUGAGAGCCAAGGCUUCGUUUUUAUAGGUCAGAUCAUCAUGGAGCCAACCUUUCAGCGAUCAAUGCUUAGCAAUAAACAAAAACAACUUUAGGCAAUCAAGAAUGGAAGCAGUGUAGUGGCACCACUUGCAGUAUGUGCCGUAGCAGUUUCUUGUUGGCAAUCAAGCUGGGGGCACGUCACAUGGUCCACUGCACGCAUGCCUAAAAGUGUCUUCUCGCAGCAUCUAUCAUCGACAUGAUCUUGCUGCAAGUAGCCGCCUGCCUUAGUCGAGUAGACGCAUGCUGGGCAACAGUACGGAUGCAUUGUACCUUGCACCAAAGGAGGAGGGCGCCGACCACGACCAUGACCAGCUCAAGAUCAGGCAGCUCUGGCCCAGCCGGCCGGUCCAUUCUUGGGCAAGAGCGUCCCACUCAUCUGAAGGUCAUACAGGUACUCUCUGAUCUGAGUAGGUGAGGAGAUGAACUGAAGAGGUAGGACUCAUUUGGAGGAAGAAUCUCACGCUGAUUUUGCAUCGAAACUGUUCUUCCAGGCGGACCCGAGAUAAUAAGUUAUCGGCUGCAUGAUUGCAGGGACACAGGGAAUUCUUUGUUCAUGUUCUUGCUGUAUCUGCUACCGUCGAUUAUACAUUAUACUAUAUAUGGUAUGAUAUCAUCAUCAUCUGCACUGCACAGAGAUUGGAAGGCGUGUCGUGAGCAAACUGUCUGAAUUUUUUAGAGCCUGCAUGAAUGGCUGCAUGGAGCAAGGAGCUGAUUGAGCACAUGGGCUGCGUGCAUCUUCGAGCUCCAAAGUUGUCGAGGCACACUGUGGCUCCAUACCGGGCUGAUGGAAACCAGCGGCAACGAGAUCAAACUUCACAUGGAUCGUUCUGGAUGGGGUCCUCUGGAAUUCUGAGGCAUCAACCCCACAAAGGUAGGUGGUGGAAAAGAAGAAUUUGGAUGCGUUGGCAUCCAGUGUUGGUGCUCGGCAAGUUUAAGCAUCCAAGGCACCAGAAUUGGCUUAAACACGAAUGAAAAUCAAAUGGUAAAAAGGAGUCUACUAUCAGAUGACCUCUCGUUGUGAUGCAGUGUGUGCGUGCGUGGUGACAGACCGGAGGACGCCCUCGCCCUGUCCUCCUCACCGCCGGACCUCACCCCGCCGCCCUGUGCGCCUAUGCGCGAGCAGCUGCAGCGGGCCGUCCGGGAUGCAACGAGGGCGGGAGCGGCGGCAGUCCCGAGCGGCGCGGCGUUGGCGAGCCCCGAGCAGCUGUCUUGGUGCUCGGCAGCCACGCGUGGGCGGGCCUAGCCCCGCAGAAGCGGACGGCGGCGGAUAGGCGGCCGAGGCCGAGGCCCAGCACGAGCGGAUGGCAGCGCCCCGGCAGGAGCGGAUGGUGGCUGAGGCCGCGUACCAGCAUGAGCAAACGGCGCCCACGACCAUUCACGCAGCACAGGCGGCCGGUGCCCGGAGAACUUGAGGCGGCGCGGGUGGAUGGCUACGGGCCUACGGACAAUGUUUUUAUUUUUUUAGUUAUAAAACAUGGGUCAUGAGUUGGAGGAGAGAGAUCGGACUGCCACGCGGGUCCCACAUGCUAGGUUCACAUCAGCGUCCCAAUCAACCUGCCACGUAUGGAGUUUAGUAUAGGUUAUAGAGAUUUUGGACGAAUCGAUUAAGAAGUUUAGGAAUUCAAAUGUGCAUUUUGGAAGUUUAGGGAUCUAAAUGACGCCUGCCGCCAAGUUUGUGUACCGCGGGUGCAAUUUUUAAAAAUCAAAUUUGAUCGAUUGAAAACGGAUGCAAAAUCGAUAAGAACAUUGAAGGAUAACAGGAUUUUUUGAAUUGACCAUUCAUGCUGAUCGAUCGUCGGCCCAAUAGUAGAAAGAAAGAAGCUCGGUCUGCAGGCCCAAAGAAAACGGGCCGAACCAACCUAGCCAGUGGUGGUGGUGGUGGUGUCGUUUUCGGGCCAUUAUUGAUUGAGGCUUGGUUGAGUUGGUACGAACGCGAGCCGAAUGCUACCGUGCCGCUGACGCCAUGCACGACGUUCGCAGCAGGGCAAAGCAGAUGUCCAGACCAGCAUCAUCCCACCGGCCUGGCCUGAAACAGCCUUGCCCCAACCUUCUUGGUUUUGGUAAUGCUUGAUGGUGCCGAGGCAGGCAGAGGUGACGUGCCGCUGUACAUGUGAAACCCCACCUUGUUUCUGCCGGGCCUCCAGAACGUUUCCUGCGUGGGGCGUUUGGAGGGGGUUAAAUUUUAGCCCCUGUGACAUCGAAGGUUUGGACACUAAUUAGGAGUAUUAAAUAUAGGUUAAUUAUAAAAUCAAUUUCACAACCCUAGGCUAAAUCGCGAGAUGAAUCUAUUAAACCUAAUUAGUCCAUGAUUUGACAAUAUGGUGCUACAGUAAAUAUUCACUAAUGAUGGAUUAAUUAGGCUUAAUAUAUUCGUCUCGCGAUUUAGCCUAGGGAUUCUGCAAUUAGUUUUGUAAUUAGCUCAUGUUUAGCCCUCUAAUUAGCAUCCGAAUAUUCGAUAUGACAUGGACUAAACAGUAGCUCGGAUCUCCGUCCCCAGCAUGCAUGGAGAUUGACGACGACAACAGGACGUGGCGGAGUACAUGAGUAAAUGCGUGGCCGGAGCCCGCGUUGUUUGAUGGCUCAACCGGGACGCAGCGCAGGGAUAUGAUUUUUGUGUUGCCGUACGUAGUGGUACUAGCACACACUGCUCUAUGGUCCCGCGCGCACUGCGGCCACCCUCGCCGGGGCGUCAGCCGCGACGCGAGCGUGCGUGCGUCACGUUGGUACGCGAAUGGACCCGUAGCUGUAAUCCAUCCCCAAGUCGUAACACAACUUGUCUCCCCCGCUUGCAUUGGGUGACCAAACAAAACUGCAAAGUGCAAACCAGACCGGCCGUCGUGCAACUGUAAGCAGGCCGGCAAAGCAGCACUGCCUGACCUCGCUGGUGCUGCUGAAGCUGAACUUGCCCCCCCACGUACUACUGCACCAUCGGCAGCCGAUGCAUGCGUGACGUGUCGGUCCAUCGUGGCAUCGUCGACCCCACUGGUCCGCGGCCACUUGGCAGACAGACAGAAAGAGGGCGCCGGUCGCCUCCAGUCCCGACCUGGGUGCCGACCAGGGGUCCCAGGGGAGAUGGAAAGCGCAAGCGCUACACGCGCUGCUGGUGCUUGUCCAAGCAAAGAAAACGAAGCAAGCAAUCUGCUGCUGCCGACCGGGACCGGGACCGGGCACGGCACAUGCCGUCGGCGUGCGGCAGCUUCCCUACAGCAGCCGCCUUGCUGGUUGCUGUUGCACCAGGCAUCAGCUGACGACCACCACCUCUCCCUCCGUCCCUCGGCUCUCGCGACGAAAAGCGGCCGGGACCGGGAGGGGAGCGCACGCCUCCAUGCCUGGGCCGCUGGGCGCGCCUUGCCUCUGCGUGCCUGCCCCCGGAACCCGAGUGCUGCCUGCCUUGCCCGCCCUCCCGGCCAGCCGGCAGCAAAGGCUUCCAAAGCGGAGCAAUGGAGCAGAGCCCAACGACCAACCACCCCCACCCGGGAAUUCAUGGGGUUGCCGCUCAUGAGGCCAUCGAUUGCGACCUGAUUGAUGCCACCCGACGGCACCGGCGGAUCGCCGGAUCGGAACACGGAGCACGGGGCACGGCACGCCACCCUAGGCGGGAGGCUAGCAGGUAGCAGCUCACAUGCCAAAGCCUGCGUGCGCGCAUGCACGGCUGCACGCUGACGACGACGCUCCUAGUGGUAGCCUCUAGCCGCCCAAGCCAAAGCCUGCAAGCCACACCCCCUGCCCCUGUCUCCCUCCCAUCCCGUCGCAUGCCACUUUGGUUGGACAUGCAUGAACACUGUAGCACCGCUUGCAGCUGUAGCCUCCUAGGAUGCCUGUGGACACGCCGGCCGGCCGGCGUGGCACUGGCCCAGCAGUCAGCCACUGGGAUCUUCGAUAACUGUAGUGAGCUGUCUGUCCUCCGCCGGGAUUCCAAUCUCACAGCCCCCCUCGUGACCUCCUCUGCUCGGUUCACGCAGUAGCAUACACUACUGCAGCUCGUGCUCCCGUCGAUGGGGAUGUGGGCCACCGGCCACGUCGUAUCCCGACCAAGUACGGUAUCGGCAGCAGUAGGAUCCGUUCCUGGAGCAUCCUCCACUCGAUCUGGAAUUCUGGAUUGUGGGUGGAGGUGGACCAACCAAACCAAGCAAAGCAAGGUGUACUCUGUACUGGAGGCCAGGCCGUUGGGUUUUGGCGCCAAAAGAAGGGGUGGUCGAUCGCGUGGACAGGACGGGCCUGCGCCUGCGAUUUGAACUAGCCCUGGUGGGGCUGGGGGGCCCCGGCCCGUUCGUUCCCGCUCCCGCCGUCGUCUAGUACGCGUCUCGGGCUCCGCGGCGGUUUUGGCGCCAACGCCGCGCGACACCUGAGAGGCUGAGACGUUUUGGCGCCAAGAAACAGCAGCAGGCGCGCGGCGGGGUCAAAGGUGGGGGGACUGUGGAUCCUGCUGCUCCUAGUCCUACCCGCGCCCGGCGCCCGUCCUGUCUUUUCCAGGAGGAGACGGUCCAGGACCGCACCACAUGGAAACAUUCUAUUCUCCUUUUUCUUUUCUUUUUUCUGUACUAAAUAAAAAUAAAAAAGAUAUAUAUAGAGACUAUACUGAUAAAAAAAAAUAUGCGUUGCGUGGUUACCCCUCCGGCUGAGGGAGCAAGCAGCCAUUGAGCGCUCCAGGAGGCACAUCCGCACGCGCACGUCACGUACGUGCGGCUUCUGCAUAUCGCUGCUGGCUCCAACCUGACUCGAGUCGUCGUGCUUAUGACCUUAGCAUGGAAGGAUGAACACUGAUCCCCACAUUCCAUUCUUUUAGUGGGAAAAAGAAAAUAAAUUUGAAAUGAUUUGUCAACAAGUUUAAAGUAGUGGGAUCAUUGGUCUGGAGAGUUGAAACCAGGGGCAGGUCAAACGAUAAAAGAAGCGUGAUUCCCCCAGGUCAACUGCGAUUUGCUAGGUUCCCCGCAUGCUUGUCCAACAAAACGGGGUUUUGGCCCUCUUACAAAUACUACUACUCCUCAACGGGACGCGCCAAUAGCACAGCCGCACUGGACUCCGUCCAUAUUUUUUUUUUAAGAAGAAUACAUGGUUACAACGCCAUACGUGAAUUCCGUUGUAUGUUACGGUCUUUUUUUUUCAAAAAAAAGAAAGAAGCUCGACGCUCGAAAAGAGGUCCAACUAAAGAGCCCUCGUUGCGCGUUAGGGGAGUUAAAAAAAUGUUGUUAACUAAUGUAUUUUUAAACACUAACGUGUUCUUAUUAAUAAUAUAUCUUCUUGUUGUUCUGAUUAAAAUUCCCACAUUCCAAACACCUCUUCUUACACAAUUAUGUGUUUUUUUCUAUCCUCUAUUUUACUACUACGCACAUUUCUGCAUUUGUUUUUCUAUCCUCUAUUUUGCUACUACGCUGUUAUCGCAUUUCUGCGUUUUUUCCCCUCUGCUUUUUAUUCCUUUGUCCCUUGUCCUUUAAAAAAAAUGUAGCUUUCAUUUGAUCGCGCAGUGGUAAACCAAAUGCUACUAGACGUCCUCGAAAUGGUGCCUGUCCUCGAAAUGGUAACGAUGGUUGAGCAAAGUUGUCGGCGAAAAAGGGGGAAAAAUACUAUUCUGUUUUUUUUUUAAAAAAGAAAGAACACUAAUGUGAAUCUUCCCAUACUCCGCCGCGCACCUUCGGGCGCUCGCAGCCUCGCACGAUCACACGGCACGGUCGGGCUCGCUCCAUUUGCUCCAAAGCCGCAGCCCGUUGAAUUUCCAGUAUGAACAUAACCCGCACGUUCCUCCACGGCUUGACAUGGCGCCGGUGAGGGUUAGGUUUGACUCGCGCAGGUCCCGAGGCGGCGGCCUGGCGCCGGCACGUCGCCCCGACUGACGCGGCCCUCGAGGCUCGCAAAAGGGCCCAGCAUCAUGUUCACCUACUGCCAGUAGCAGCAUACAGUACCCACUCCACGUCCCGGGGGGGCAGAGACAGACCGGGCCAGACAGACGGCGGGAUCACGGGACGGCGCGUGCACGUCGUCGCCUCGCCGGUCACGCGCGGGUGGUGCGCGGCACGUCGCCGCGGGCAUCCGCGCCCCCCACGACGCCAGCCCCGGCCGGAAUCGUGCGCCCGGUCUCCUGCCCCUCCUGCCCCCUGCGCCAACGGACGGGCAGGCGCCGCCGUGCCGGAUCGAACCGGCCACGUCGUCGCAGGGAAGCUAGCUACAGCUGGCUAGCUUGCGCCCGCCCGCCGGGAUGGCCGCGUCGUGCCUGCGCACGAACCCCACGCACGGCCGCACGUUCCGCAGCGGCGGAGCAGUGCACGCACGCACCCACCAUUAUUCCAAAGAUACCGGUACGUGCGCGCGUACGAUCCGAUCCAAUCCGGCGGAUCCCCGGCACGCCCCCGCCGAUUCCCGACGGCGGGCACCGGCGCCACCACACCGCGUGCCCUGCUCGACUGCUCUGCUCUGCCCGUCGUCGCCUCUACUCCGGUCACGUGACCGAUCAGCGCCCUGCCGCCAUGGAUCCAGGACCCACUCGGCGCACACUAGCCCGCCGCCACGCCCAUCGGGAUCCCGACAUUAAUGGCCGUCACGGCGCGAGCGUGGCGCCGAUGCGCAUGUAUGAGCGCGCGCGCGCGUCGCAUUAAUGGAUCAUCAUGGGGUGUGCGUGUGGGCCACACGUCCGGGACGGUACGGUACGGUGUCGCAUGAUCUCCUCCGCGCCAUAAGGCAUCCGCCGAUGUCGGGGGUGGUUGGAUUCACGUACUGGUUUGGUUUGUUUUGGUUCCAGUCAUAUUGGAAUAUCAAUUAGAAAGAUUAAAAGUGAACUAAUUGUAAAACUAUUGUAUAAGUUGUGGCUAAUUUGCAAGAUGAAUCUAUUAAACCUAAUUAAUUUAUAAUUAGCGCAUAUUUACGGUAUCACUACAUGGUUAAAUCAUGGAUUAAUUAGGCUUAAUAGAUUCGUCUCGCGAAUUAAUCUUUAUUUAUACAAUUGAUUUUGUAAUUAACCUAUAUUUAAUACUUCUAAUUAUUAUCUAUACAUUCGUCCUUGUCUUCAAAUGGGACUAGCUGCUCAUAGAAUAAUUUCUUAUAUUUUAAUUAAGAAGAGAAGAGCUAUCUUUUAAUAAUCUUAUACAACUAUUUCAAGAUUAAAUGACCUGUGAGCUACCUGCUGGCUCGCACUGUUGGAGUCGUCCUGAAUCCACCACCGGAUCCGUGGAAAUCCAGCGCCUGGGGACGGACGCCUCAUUGAACUCGUUCCGCGGGGCCCCUCGCCCACGGUGCACCACCACCCGAUUCGUACCAGUACUACGGAGCACGUACGUGCCACCGUCCUCGAAUCACAGAUCUCGCUGCCAUUCAUCCUCACAUCAGCUCUGCAUCGUGCAAAAUUUCAUCUGAGAUCACAAAAAGGCACUCCCUCGGAUUUUGACUUCAAAUGAUACUUUGACUUGCACUUUGUUUUAUCAAAACAAACUUUUUCAAAAUUGUGAACACUGCUAAAGUACGUGUAUUCCCCGUGACGAAUGCAGUGUCAUCUAGUGUCAUGCAUUGUGAAUUUAAACCGUUUAUUGUCGGAUCAAAUUUGUGGAAGCAAGUUUGGCCGCGCGAAAUCCUAAAAUGAAUCUGAUCUUCAUCGCUCGAUCGGGCGGUCGUGAGCGCAAUUGACACUAGUGCCCUUUUUAUCUUAAGCCGUCAUUUGGCUACUACUUGGCUGUCGUAUUGACAGGUUGCAUUCGUGCGGACUCACACGGCAGCUCCAAAACAAACCUCGGUCGGCAGCUCGAUUCGGAAUAUCUACGAAAUAUUCGAGCUCAACCCAGCUCUCGCUUCUCUAACUCUUGUCCGUUUAUUCCCCGACGUGUGCUUCUCUGCUUACCCAAAAAAUCACUCCUUUGGAACUACUAGUAGGGCACCUCUCCUAAAUCCGGCAAGAUGCCCUGCUUUGUCCUCACCGCCGUCUCCUUCCAUCCGAUCAAAAUCCCAACUUGCCAACUAGUAGAGCCGACUGAUAGGCAUAUCUCCACUUCAAAUCACAAUUCGAAAUUUAAGCAGAGGCAGCGGAGCCCGAAGCACGAUCGAUUUUAAAUUCGAACAGCAAGCAAAAACUAAAUUCGAACAGCGAAAAACUAAGAGGGGGGGGGGGGGGGGGGGGGGCGCUUUGGGAAGCUCCAACAGAAAGGAAAAGAUGCCCCGGCCCAUGUUUGCCGGUGCUCCCCGGGGGUGGCGGACACGGCCGCGGCAGCACGGGUGCAAUGACCGAACCGCCCUCGCCGGUCGCCGCCGCACCGCCGGCGGGCGGGGGCGUUUCCGUCAAUGCGCGGGGGCAGUUUGGGCUUCGCUUUGCUGGCGCCGCGCGCAGCAGCGAGACCCGGCAGCAGCGUCCGUAACGACGACGGAAAAGGGCGCGCGGCAGCCGGAACCGGGCCCACCGAUCCCCCCGACAGCUAGCGGAGCGCAGGGACAACUGCGCGAGGCCGCCCUGCUGGGCCCCGCAAGCCAGCUGCCGUGCUGUACUACGCGGUCUGCCUGCCGGAUAGCUGUAAAAACAAAAGAAUUCCUGCUACCGCUUGCGCGAGGAGCGGUCGUCAUGUACGUUCCGUUAAAAAAAAACAAAGAUUUUUUUUUACUAUAGUACCCCAGGUACUACUGGUAGCUCAGUAAAAUACUAGUUUUGUCCUACCGGUGUCCACUUUGUUACUUGCAUGGUAAAUGAACAUUUUUUCUCUUCUCAAUGACGUUGCCAUUCCCAUUUGAACUUCAAACCAUUCAAAUUUUAAAAUAUACUUUCCUUUUGAGAGAGAGAAGCUUUAAAACAUUCCUCCAACUGCAUUAGGUUGGUCGAUACGGUAUAACAACAACCAGAAAUGCCGUCCGGACAUUUUCUUUUCUAUAAGAAAAAUAAAAACCAAGAUGUUCAUUGAGCCGGACGCAAAGGGCGGGAAAUAUGCAAGUGCAAGGCAAGGAACAGCCACGCACCGUCUCCACGUGGCGACCCACCUGGCUCCCACACGAGAGCCGCUGCGACAGCAUGUGCCCCGCGGGACCCACCACCCUCCUCCUACCCCCUCCGGCCUCCGCGUCUUAAAUUCCAGCGCCCCGUCAAUUCCUUUCCCACCCCCCGCAUCCCAAUUCCAAAUUCCAGCUCAGUUUCUCAGAACAAGGCGAGCUGGGCGAGCAGAGCCAAGCCAAAUCCGGGGAAGCCUCCAAGCCGCGGGCGAUUCGGCCGAAGCGCCCCCUCGUCGCCGUCGUCCUCGUUACCUUCGUCCGCCCCUUGCUUUUAUAUACUGCGCCGGGGUUGGCCGGGCUCGCUCCGUGCGCGGAAGCGGCGGCAGCGGCGGAGCACACGGUGGGUGUCGAGGUGCUUGUGAGGAGGAGGAAGAGGAGGCCGGUGCGGAGAUGGAGUGGCUCGACGAGUACGAGAAGCUGGUGAUCCGGAUGAACACGCCCCGGGUGGUCAUUGACAAUGCGGUCUGCCCCACGGCGACGCUCGUGCAGGUGGACAGCGCGAGGAAGCGAGGGGUGCUGCUCGAGGCCGUGCAGGUGCUCGCCGACCUCGACCUGUCCAUCAACAAGGCCUACAUCUCCUCCGACGGCCGGUGGUUCAUGGACGUCUUCCACGUCACCGACCGACUCGGCCGCAAGCUCACCGACGACAGCGUCAUCUCCUACAUCGAGCAGGUAGGCUUGCCGCUGUCCUCGGUUUGGUUCUUGGCGCCGUGUGGUUGCCUCGCCGGCGCGGGCAAGGGAGAAAGUAGCGGCGUUUAUGCUGAUGCGCGUCGCGCGGUUUUUUGCAGUCGCUGGGAACGUGGAACGGGCCGGCGCGGCCGGCGGCUCUGGAGGGCCUGACGGCGCUGGAGCUCACUGGCGCCGACCGCACGGGGCUCCUCUCCGAGGUCUUCGCCGUGCUCGCCGACAUGGAGUGCAGCGUCGUGGAGGCCCGCGCGUGGACGCACCGCGGCCGCCUUGCCUGCGUCGUCUUCCUCCGCGGGGAGGACGCGGACGCCGCCCGCGUGGCGCGCAUCCUCGCCCGCCUCGGCCACCUCCUCCGCGGGGACCCAGCGGAGGCGCCCGGCGCCGUGGCAGCCGUCCCCGCCGCGGGCGUCGCGCACGCCGACCGCCGCCUCCACCAGCUCAUGGCCGCGGACCGCGACCAGGACCUCCGCGCGUUCCCGACGCCGGCCGUGUCCGUCGACAGCUGGGCGGAGCGCGGGUACUCCGUGGUCACCGUGCAGUGCCGCGACCGCCCCAAGCUACUCUUCGACGUGGUGUGCACGCUCCACGACAUGGACUACGUCGUCUUCCACGGCACCGUCGACACCACCGGCGACCAGGCGCGCCAGGAGUUCUACAUCCGGCACGCCGACGGGAGCCCCAUCCGCUCCGAGGCCGAGAGGGAGAGGGUCAGCCAGUGCCUCCAAGCCGCCAUUGAACGGAGAUCGCUCGAGGUAAUUACAGGAUCAUUCGAUUCAAAUGCUGGUUUCAAAAUUGCAAUGUUUUUGUAAUGAAAGAAGAAGAAACUAAUGUGUUUGGUUUUUUAAUUUGCAGGGGGUGAGACUAGAGCUGUGCACGCCGGACCGGCCAGGGCUGCUGUCCGACGUGACGCGAACGUUCCGGGAGAACGGGCUGCUCGUAGCUCGGGCGGAGGUGUCGACCAAGGGCGACGUGGCCUCGAACGUGUUCUACGUGACCGACGCCGCCGGCGACGCCGUGGAGCAGUGCGCCAUCGACGCCGUCAGGGAGAGGGUCGGCACGGACUGCCUCGUCGUGGGGGAGGAGCCCCGGCCGCAGCUCUACCGGAAGCCCGCGCCGGCCGACCGGGACCACGGCGUCGGCGGCGGCCUUGGGCUGGUCUACCUCGGCAACCUCGUCAAGAGGAACCUCUACAACCUCGGCCUCAUCAAGUCCUGCUCGUGAGAUACAGCGGACACGAUCAAAAUCCAAGAACACACCAUUCAUUUCGGCCAUGAGCUGUGGCCGUGCACUUGGAGACAUCUCGCUUGCUUCUGCAAUCGUUGCCAUGCCAUUGCUGUGCAUACAAGAUUCAGGACGACAGUGAGAUGCUGCGAAAAGGGAUGUGUGGUGGCUGAAAGCUCAAGCAGGGUGAAAGCUCAGGCAUGUCCCGAUUCAGUGGUUCAUCAGAGAUCCAGGAGCUGCGACCGACGCCAUGCCAUUGGGAGAUGCAGGAUGAUGGUAGAUGCUGAUAGCAGUAGGAAUUUCUGUAGCCAUGUACAUAGACAAAUUCGUUGCUGUGAGUACUAGCAGUAGCGCGUAGUAGCAGUUGGUGUGUGCAUUCAUCAUGUCUUCGGGCACAGGGGCCGGCCGGACGAUUUGUGAUCUGUAAAAUUCUGUACCCGCGCCGCCGCCUCUGGCGAAACAGCAUUCUUUGCCUCUUUUUGUCUGUCCUUGUUUGCCAGUAACUGAGGCUUUUCCUGCUGAUCUGCCGGAUCCAUCAUGCCCAAAUGUGGCUAAUCUCACCUUUGUCAGUUUAGGAUCUGAAAGGAAAAUGUGUGUGAUGUAGGAUUUUGUUGUGCCCUAAGCCCCUAGCAGGUGUAGGACUGAGCCCAAAUGUGGCUAAUCUUGCUUUAGCAAUUUAGGAUCUGGAAAGGGAGGAGAAGAUGGUGCUUUUGUUCUGGUUGAUUAGGGGUGGCUUGCAAGGGAAACAAGGUGCCUGGGUUGGGCCAGGAAGGGAGUGAUUUGUAAUCACAGAGCAAAGGACUCUUAGACUGGAGUGGGGGCAGGCAAAGCUAGGCUGCUGCUCCUUGGUCUUUUCCUCUUGUGGAAUGUCUGAGGUUGUAAUGCAAGUGAUUCAUUCACGGCAAUAAAGCUGUGGUCAUGCUAACUUAUAGCAAGUGUGGUGGGGGCACACUACUCAUAAGUCACAGAGCUCGGCUGCUGAGACUGAUAAAAUGGGGAGAAAAAUACAGUAGGAAAUCAGAAGGUGAAAAACAGUUACAUGCAAUCUGAGUCACCUGCUAGGCUGCUACUCUCCUAGAUAGAGGUCAAUUGGACUAUUCAAACACCAAAUUCUCACCAGAAAUGAACCAAAUUUUGUCCAUACAGCCGCCCGUAUAUUCCUAGUCUUUGCAAGGCCUGCAGCUCGUCCCCUUUCUUCAGAAUUCACUUGCCUUGGAACACACUUCCGACGAGCACGGCCAUGCAUGCGCGGCUGAACUCGGUUCAUGUCUAGUGCCUUUCUGCACUUCCGAUACACAACAACAGCCACUCGAUCGAGAUUUGGUGAGCUAAAGCAGCUGGCUUUACUCCGCCUCAAAGUGUACGAACAUUCUGGAUCGGAGCGGCGGCCUGCCCUGCCAAGUGCCAAAGAUUCCACUAGUCAAAAUGCUGAUGCCUCAAAAAAGCAGGGGUUUGGCCUUUUGCCCAGGGACGAGCAGCAUGGUUCGUGCAAUCGUGCAGCUAGCAGCUUGCUCUGAAUAAAAAUCCCUGCAGGCGGUUUUUGAUUUGCCUGGAACUAGAGUCACCAGCUCCAACAGCGACAAAACAAAGAGCUCUCGACAACUAACCGAGAUGAUGAUGAUGACGAUGAUGAGUGCAGCUGAUGUGCAUGUCCUGUCCAUGUUAUACUUUGCGGUUCAAGUUGGCUUAAACAAACACCGUGGUUCCGCGUCUCUAAUGAUAUAGGUCAGCUGCUAGCUCAAAUUUGAUAUGGAUCCCGUGAAUAAGGAAGCUUUGAAGGUUGUGUUUGAAAGAAAGCUACAUCGAAAAACGAGUGAGACUAGCUCUUCACUCCACGCUAGUCUCAUACAUUUUGCACUAUUUCUAGACUAAAAAAUUGAUUCAUCUAGCUCUAAGCUUACAUUUUUUAUGGUGUUAGGAUGAGGAUUUGGAAUGUUAGCACCUCCAUGAUAUGGCAGUUUCUAGCGCUCUUAAAACAAAAAGCUAAAGCUGCCCUUAGGCCUCCUCUAACAGUGCCAACUUAGCUAGUUCAUAAGUAUACCACAUCAGAUUUUUACCCAUGUGGAAGAGAAAGAAUGAUGAGCUAACCUGUUUGGAUCAAGUGCUAAUGGGUGAAAGUGUUAAAGUUUAGUACCUUAUGCAUUAGCCCAUUCAAACGGGAGGGCUAAACUUUAGCCUACUCCAAAAGGUGCAAAAAGUAUUAGCUAGUGGGUAGGAGCUAAUGGGUGCUAAUGGCUUGUGAAAAGGCCAGGGGGGGAGAAAGGGAGGAGGUGAGGUGAUAAAUGGGCAAAAGUGACAUUUCAUGGAUUUUAGCUCUAUCCAUUAGCUAUGUCCCCAAACAGGAGUGCUAACGGCUGGAAGUGCUAAAUUUUAGAUGGGCUAAACUUUAACACGUGCUAAACUUUAGCAAUAGUACAUCCAAACAACCCUUUGUUCAAGAGAUAGUCUCAUGCACACAUCCCUAAAUCAUGUGGGACUGACGUGUGAGGUGAUGUAGACAUAAGAGCCAGGUCUUGACUCUAAUUAUUGGAAGACUCAUCUCUUAUUCAACGUACGAGCUAAUAGUUGACUUUAACCAUUGGAGGAGGUCUUAGAGGCUAUUGAAAAAGGCAAAAGUCCAAAAAAAAAUUUCAAGCUACAUGUGUAAGAAAUAGAUUCUCUUGGUAGCUAAGAUAAAACUAGCUUAUGCACAAGUUAAGUUGUGCCGAAUAGGGUUGCUGGUCGGUCGUGUUUCACAGUCUCGUUGGCUUAUGUGCUGGCCAUAUAGGAGCCGGACUCAUUUGCAUAGGAGAAUGCAUGGACGGACGUAACCCCAGGGGGACAUAUGCCCUGUAACUCCACUAGUUAUUGCUUUAAAUUUCUAUUAAAAAAGAAAAAAACAUUAGCAUCUGUGUUUGUAUAUUAAGCUUUUCAGUUUCACUCAAGUAAAAAAUAUAGCAUCAUUGAUUGCAAGAAAUCCAGCUUUAUAAGUGAAAAAGGUAAGGUAAUUAGGAUAAUCAUUGAUAAUUAAUGGUAUUGCUGCACUCAAAGACCAUAAGCAAUCGAAGAGAUAUCCUCCAUUGGUAAAACAAUGAAGAUACUUGUUGAUCUCUUGGGACGUUGAACCUAUCAACAUGAUUAGUGUAUCAUUAUGAGAUUUUUAGGAGUUAAGACCAGGUACUACUCCAAACCCUCUCUAUCGUUAAUAAUAGGGUAAUUGAAACAACUCUCUUGUAAGCACGAACUAGAUAAAAAAAAGGCCACAUGCCCCAACCAGUAAUAACUAACCAAUUGUAUGCCGCUAUUGACAAUCACCCAGUUGUAUGCCACUAUUCACACAUUAUUACUUGUCACUUGAUAUGCAUGGGCGAUGGUUCGUGAGCGUGUAGAUAUGCACACAAUAUUGAUGCAUGGGCGAUGGUUCGUGAGCAUGUAGAUAUGCACACAACAUUGACUAUGAUUUGGAUCAGACAACCGACGCACAUCACAAGGAAAAUAUAAGUGCGAAUGGUUGAUAAACUACAAUUUCAUUGCUCUCUUGUAUCUCUUCUUACAUUGUUUUUCUGCUUUUUUACUUGCACAAGCGAAUUGAGAAAUUAAAUAAAGAGACUAGUUAACCGUAGUUAAGUUGUUUAGGUUUUUUUUUUACCGAGACAUGCUAUUCCGGUUCGAGCUCCGACCUGUCAUGGAUGCUCCUGUUGAAGUUUAAUUAUGACGUUCUCAUUUAUAGACAGACAAUUGUGGUGGCUUCUUUAAUCUCAUGAUCUCUGCUUAGUCUCUUGAGGUAGUCAUAAGGGUAGGGUAUGCAUAUGCGUGUUCAAGGAAUGAGUGUGCAUAUAUGUAUAUGUGAGCGUGUACACCAGUACUGUAUUUCGAAAGCAAAAAAAAAUGAAAAGAAAAUGAUUUCGUUGCUGUCAGUACUAGCAGUAGCGUAUAGUAGCAGUGAGCGUGCAUUCAUCAUGUGUUUUGGCACAGGGACCGGACGAUUUGUGAUCUAAAAUUCUUUGGGUUGCCACUUUUUGUCUGUCCUUGACUCCUUGCUAGUGACUCAUGCUUCCCUGCUGAUCUGCUGGAUUGAUUAUGCCCAAACGUGGCUAAUCUAACCUUUUCAUUUUUAGGAUCUGAAAGGAAAUGUGUGAGAGUGACUGAUGCUUUGCUGCUGAUUCCACUAAGGAUUUUGUUGUGCCCUAGGAUUCAGCCCAAAUGUGCUAAUCUUGCUUUAGCAAUUAAGGAUCUGGAAAGAGAGUGUGGUGCUUUUGUUUUGGUUGAUUAGGUGUAGCUUGCAAGGGAAACAAGGUGCCUGAGUUGGGUCAGGUGAGAGUGAUUUGCAAUCAGAGCAAGGGCCUAUAGGCUACAUACACAUAGACAUAGAGUGGGGACAGGCAGCUACGCUGCUGGCUGCUGCUCCUUGGUCUUGUCCUCUUGUGGAAUGUAUGAGGCUGUAAUGCAAAAGUGAUUCAUUAACAUUCUUACAUUCACGGCAGUACAUUUCUUCAAGAUUUUACUUGCCUUGGAACACACUUCUGACUGACGAGCUGGAGUUGCAUGAUGUUUACAGUACUGGCUUUCUGCAAUUCCGAUAACAACAACUCGAUCGAGGUUUGGUAAACUAAAGGAGCUGCCAGUUGGCUUUGCCUCAAAGUGUACGACGUUCUGCCCUGCUCUGCCGAGAUUCCAUUAGUCAAAUGCUGAUGCCGCAAAAAGCAGGAGUUUGGCCUUUUGCCCAGAGACGAGCAUGGUUUGAUUUGCCCGGAACCAGCGUCACCAGCUCCAACAGCAAGAAAACAAACCAAGAUGAUGAUGAGUGCAGAUGAUGUGCAUGUCCUGUCAUUGGUUGUAUUUUGGGUUGGGAACUUGAUGAUGACUGAUCAGGACAAGCCCUGCUGUGUUGUUGGCUUAAUAAACAAAACACCAGUUGGUGAUUCCGCAGAUCGAAGCAGAAUUGUGAGAUGGGAGUGGGACUAGCUAGGGUGGCGACAAGCAUGGCGAGACGGGCAUCUGUGGCCAGCGCAAGGUCCAAGCCGCCCGCACGGUGGGUGGCAUCUCCAUCACCACCGCCGGCUUUUCAUGGCGGCGGUUGGAUCGUUGUGCCCUGGUGUGUGCUGUCUUGGCGCAUGCGUACGUGUUGACCGGAUCAGUCAGGGCCUGGCUCCGUGACCGAGCCUGCAGGCUGCAGCUCAGCAGCUGCAUGGACCAACGGGCUUAGAAGCAGCCAUGUGCAUCGGACACUGUAUCAGUCAGACGAGAGGGGGAGGCAGUUUUGGUCGGAUCAAGGAGUCAACGUGCGCCGUGGAGGCUUAGGGGUGCCGCUAAAGUUUAGCGUAUGAUGUUUGAUAUUAAUUAAAAGUAUUAAAUAUAGGCUAAUUACAAAACUAAUUGUACAGAUGGAGUCUAAUUCGUCAGACGAAUCUUUUAAGCCUAAUUAAUCCAUGAUUUGACAAUAUGGUGCUACAGCAACCAUUUUCUAAUGAUGAAUUAAUUAGGCUUAAUAAAUUCAUCUCUCGAAUUAGCUCUAAAGGGGUGUUUGGAUACUAGGUGCUAAACUUUAGCAGUAUCAUAUCGGAUGUUCGGAUACUAAUUAGGAGGACUAAAUAUGAGCUAAUUACAAACUAAUUGCACAGAUGGGGUCUAAUUCGCGAGACGAAUCUAUUAAGGCUAAUUAAUACUCCCAAUUAGGCUUAAUAGAUUCGUCUCGCGAAUUAGGCUCCAUCUAUGCAGUUAGUUUUGUAAUUAGCCUAUGUUUAAUACUCCCGAUUAGUAUCAAACAUCUGAUGUGACAGGUGCUAAACUUUAGCGGGUGGUAUCCAAACACCCCCUAUAUUUAUAAUCAGACUAUGAGCUCCAACAGUUUGAGAUAGUUGCUAACUUAUAGAAAAUAUAAAAAAGAGAAAGAAGGUAAGUUAGUCCAAAAGGAUACCUCGAGGCUCGUGCAGUGAGAGAGGAGAGCAUCGGGAGAUGUGCGAGGUUAGCUCUUCACCAAGAGUUAGCUGGAAUAUUUUUACACUGUUUAUUACCAAUAUAACUAUAGAAUGUUGCCAAUACAGCUAUAGAAGACGAUAUAACAAAUACUUGGUCUUACAUUCCAUAAACAGAUUUCACCUGCAUAUACUAUCCAUUUUUCAUUGCUGGAACAUUGAAAUGUUGGCUAUCGUCCUCUUCUCUCGGCAAAAUGUUUCAUCCCCCACGCAAGGUUGAGGUAAACCCCCAAUUCCUUUUUGAGGACCAUGUCGUAAAAUUUCAAUCCGAAGCAAAAACCAGAAAAACCAGAUGCAAAUGCAAUAGUGAGCAGUGAAAGGCCGAAAAUAGUUGUAGUAGCAGGCACAAUCAAGCGGCGCCACCUCGUGUUCUUGUUUCUUCUUGCCUCGUCCAUGGCCUCUCUAUCAAGUUAAAAGACAUGGAUCGAAUGCAUAACUAUUAUUAGGAUCUUUUCGAUGCUGGGGUUAAAUAAAGAAAAAAAAUGAAAAAUAUUAUGUUGUGGUACCCCUCUUUACCUUUCGCUCAUGGCUUCAGCUUUAAUACCAGCUAUCUCUUCGUCAAUAAUUCUAGCCAUCUCUUCGUCAAUCUCCAUUCCCACGUUUUUUAAUUUCGCCAACAAAUGAUCAACCCCCUCCGUCUUCCUAGGGACAUCAACUUCAGCACCAUGGCCAUGUUCACCCUGCUAGGAUUAUAUUUAGAGGAACAAAGCUGAGAGGAUAGUGCAUAAGAGCAUAGGUAAUCCAUUCUUGACGUUUAGAACAAGCAAAUUAGUUCAUUUUUAGACUAAACAAUGUCCUAAACGUCGUAUCAAGAAUAGAUUUUAAGAGGUACAUCUAUCUAAGAUUCAGAAUUUCCCCAAUGGAUAAGAACAGUUACUAAGAAGGAAAAGCGCAUCAGAAGAAGUUAAUGGUGACAAGGACCGUCAGCCAAAUUACGACUCAGUUAGUAAUAGCAUGUCAGAAAAUAUAUAUUAUUUUUGCGAUGAGAACAAAUGAGGAAAUGUAAUCUUUCACAUUCAGAUUGCUGCGACACCCUAUUCCACGUCGGGUCGUAACCAGCUCCUGGUUCAUCAGUUCAAAGAAAUAAAGAAGAAGGAAUCAAAUCCCCACAUCGAGGGAUAGGUUUCUCAGCUCGGAGCUUUCACAAUGCAUUGUAUCAUGAUAUUAUAUCUAAGACUAUUAUUUAUAUGUAUUACGAUAGUCAAAACUCGAAAAAAAAACCUGACAGACCCAAAUUAUUGUAAGUAAAGGCCUCCCAAUCCUAAAAGGACCGUCAGAUCGUGGAUCGGGACGAGAUACCUGAGAGUUGGGAGGCGGCGACUGAUCUCGGGGUGAGGGUGGGGGCCGGUCCAUGGCACCGACUGGUCUCGCAGGCAAGAUCCGGGUGGCGGCUAGGGAUCGCUUGCUUCGAUUCUUUCUUUCUUUGUUUGUUUCUUUAAUUUGGAUAGAUAUAGAUGGAUGAUUUAUUAGUUUGUUUCUUGGGAGCAUCCUCGUUGUGGUAGAGCCCAAUGAGGACACGACGAGGCCCGGCCCAAGUUGAAACCGUGGCUCGAUCAGCAGCAUGGGAACCUACUAGCAUGACUUCUUUUUCAGAGCUAUAGAUGCGCUGAUCUGCCUUCAGUGUGCAGCCGUGAAACAGCGAGUAGAUUCUUAGAUAGUCGACACAAUCUGCAGAAAAUCCUGCUAUUUGCAACAGAAAAUCCUGCAAUUUGCAAACUUGAUUUCCAUUUUGAUCCUUCUCGAAGUCAACAAUUGCGUAACAAUUGAGCCAGUGCCACCACCUCGCUCCCGAGGACAUCAGCACGCCAAGAUAGGUGGUCGGCGUAGCACAGGUGAGUCAAUUUUAAUCAAGAGCACCCAUGCCAUGCUAAUACAAAAAUCAUUGACAUUUUUACACCUUCAACAUCGUUGCUUCACUGAAACCAAACAAAAUCAUUGACAUAACCAUCGUUUGCCUGAUCAUUAAAAGCAUAAGACAGUCGGUAGGGCUUUAUACACCUUUUAUACAGGAACAAAGUAUUCAGGUGUUUCACAUAAACCAAACAAACGUUAGUCACCAACUUUCAUGGUAGCAAGCAAUCUUAUUACUACUUUUCUAAUAAACCUGAAACAUGUUAGCCAAAAGGAGCUGGUAAAUAUGCAGAAGUUACGAAAAGGAGAUGACAUGGAAAGUAUGAACUAAAACAAGAGCAUUGCAAUUCAACAAACACAAUGUUCAAUGGCAAACUAUUUGACUUUGUUUUACCCAUCAUGCUUCUCAGCACACUACCAGUGUAGAGAAACCUAGUAGAGCCAUGAUUCAAUCUCUGCAGCAGUUUACCAACCAAUGGCUCCUAAUAUUACCAUGCUAUGGCAAUAAUACUGAUACAACACUGCAAUGAUACAGCAACAGCUUCUAGUAUUUGUUUCGAACCUAGGAUGUCCCCAUUCCCAUUAUUUAAAAAGAAUAGGAGAGCUACAGCAGACAGAUACGAGACUUGAAUCCCUAUCCCCCUCUCUACCAACUAGUUACCACAUCUGAUUCAGAUGUACAACGGACGAGCCACGUUUAGACUAUUACAAAUGUCAAACAGCCAGAGUACACGCCAGAACACAGGACCACCAACAGCAAACCACGGAAGAAACUGGACACAAAAUUCUCCCACAGAAAUGGUAACUUGAUCUUCUUCCUUGCCCGGGACGCCCUGUCAGUUUCAGACACUUGAAUCCCAGAUAAUGUCCAUCCCCAACCCUAGGGGUUCUAGCAUUGGCGGUGUUCGUCGUUGAAUUCGGGCAUUUGGCAACCUUCUAGCCAUCUGCAGCAGAAUGUUCACUUGCUCCACCAGCAUCUCUCAGACUUCCUCAGCAUACAAACCUGUUCGAUAAUGCAUAGGAGCACAUGCAUAACAAACUAUCUCAGCUGGGUUUUUCUUUUUUCCAUCAAAACAAGUUUUAUUUAGUGUUUUCCAGAUAGCCCACUCAGCUGGGUUUUUCUUUUUUCCAUCAAAACAAGUUUUAUUUAGUGUUUUCCAGAUAGCCCAGCAAAUAGCUGCUAUCCCAGAUGUAUAAAAUUUGUAUCCUAUUAGUAAGCCACUUAUUAACCCAAACCCAAUACUGAUCUAAUUUCUUGGUCUGCUAUCAGCACCAAUACUUUGAGCAAUAAUGGCCCAAGCAAAUUUUGCCACUGGACACACAAAGAACAGAUGAACAAUUUGUCUCAUCAUGAUCAGGUAAGUAAGAUUUUGGGUCUCCCAAUGAAUUGCUGUUAGUAUUUGAGUAUAUUCUGGGACGGUGGGAAAUAUCUUCUUGUUCACAAAGAUGAAACAACAAAGGAAAUUCCAUACAUAUUGGCUCAUCAUACAGCCAGCUAUAUUUCCAAAACAGGUAGAUGGGUUUGAGCUUGAGAAGGUCAGUCCAGACAGGGGAGUCAUCAUACCUGUGUCUCAUAAUGCAUAUAGUCUGACCAAAACAUGAUAACAUUGCUGAAAUUAAGCUUAAAUCAAAACAAGCAGAUAUCUUUGGUAAACAAUUUCAAGUCUGCCACAAAAUGUUAGGACAAAAAUGAACAGAUUUUUAUUCGGUAGUUAGCAACAAAAAUAAUGUGCUUAUAGCUCGAAAGUCGUUUUCCCUAGUUAAUAGGAUUAAGUAUGAUGGAGCUGCCGAAGAAAAUAAGAAUAGAAUUCAGCAAAAUGAUGCUGCUGUAUGUUCUAUAUUGCUUAGAAUGAAAUACCCAACAUGGAACAUCAACAUGUUACGAUGUAACCCAUAUAAAUAAUCACACCAAAACAACAUGUUCUCUUCAUAAUAUCAGCAGUUGCCAAAAAGCUUACUCCCGUUUUAACAAGGUCCAUCUUCAUUAAAAAAUGGCAACUUCCUGGCACCAUCACUAUGAAAAAUAGUCUAACGCUAAUUAUCUGGUCCAAUGGUCUAACACUAAUUAUCUGGUCCAGUGCCAUCGAGGGAAAAGGUCGACUGAAAACUUUAUUCAGAAAUCCUUGCUAAUUAUUGAAUCACCCUCCAUAGAAUUUUCAUUUUUUUCAGACAGACAGACAGACAGACACUAAUACACCAAUAUGUUACAAAUGAUAAGCCUCGUGCUUUAACUGUACCAAACUUAUGCCAAGACAAGAUAAUAAAGGGCCAGCUGAUAAAUAGAAAAACACAAUAACAUCAUUGAGGGUGAAUUACCAAU
rnacentral:lncRNA from 1 species